CUGGGUCCCUCCUUGUCACCCCCAGAUCCGCCACCACGGUCUAACUCCAGCAUUGCGUCCCUUCCAAAUCCACGUUCGGUGUGGCUAUUAGUCGUGGCCGGAGCUAAUGGAGACGGCGGCGUCUAGAAGUGUUGGAUCCAGCGGACGAGUGGCCAAUCCUGGUGGCAGCGGGGCAGAUCCACUAGAUCCACGGUGGAUCCGGCUUGCGGGGGAUGUAGAGGCGAUGGAUCUCCUUCGGGCUUGAGGCGUGGGUCUCCGAGGAUGGAUGGCUAUUGGUCAUGGUCGAUGCAAAGUUGCUGGGCAACCGUUACACAAGGAAGCAUGGCAUGAUUCGCUAGCUGACCGUAGUGCGAGGAGGCGAAGCGUGGCCCACUGAGCAUGGCUCACCGGCCAAGCGCGGAGUGAGACCGCAGCUCGGUGUCGCCAUCCGGUAGGUGUCCGUGCAAUCUGGACUGGACGAGGACGAUCCCAUCUGCCAGGUAUCCCACCCAUCCACUCCCCUUCCCCUUCCCUAUGCGUUCGUGAUAUAUGGUCGUCAGUGUCAGCAAGUUAAUAUCUCCGUUGAUUUGUUUGAAAACAGAUAGCAGUAGAGAGAGGAGAAUAUAUAUCAUGUACUCUGACAGAUCUAGCCCUGCUUGCUAGCCGCAGGUUGUGUGUGUACACAUGGCCAGCAAAAUGCAGUAGUGAUUGUUUCAAUCUAUCAGAUUAAUUUCUGAUGAAUUUACUUGUAUUUUCAUGUUUGAUUCUGUUCAGACAUUCUGACAUUGGGGGGUAAGAAGCAAGCUUCAGGCUCAAAUGUACUCGGUAUAAAAUAAUCCUUCCUUCA